rnacentral:rRNA from 1 species
AACGAACGCUGGCGGCAGGCUUAACACAUGCAAGUCGAACGCCCCGCAAGGGGAGUGGCAGACGGGUGAGUAACGCGUGGGAACAUACCCUUUCCUGCGGAAUAGCUCCGGGAAACUGGAAUUAAUACCGCAUACACCCUACGGGGGAAAGAUUUAUCGGGGAAGGAUUGGCCCGCGUUGGAUUAGCUAGUUGGUGGGGUAAAGGCCUACCAAGGCGACGAUCCAUAGCUGGUCUGAGAGGAUGAUCAGCCACAUUGGGACUGAGACACGGCCCAAACUCCUACGGGAGGCAGCAGUGGGGAAUAUUGGACAAUGGGCGCAAGCCUGAUCCAGCCAUGCCGCGUGAGUGAUGAAGGCCUUAGGGUUGUAAAGCUCUUUCACCGAUGAAGAUAAUGACGGUAGUCGGAGAAGAAGCCCCGGCUAACUUCGUG